GAGCGAGGGAGGAGGAGGCGGCCGCGGCGCGUUCCCGCCCGCGCGGCCCGGUGGCGCCCCUGGGCCCGCGCUCGUGCGGCCCGCAGCGGGACCGGCGCAAGCUGCGGGCCGGGCGGCGCGGGAGGCCCGGAACGCCCCGCACCCCCACCGGGAACUUCUCGCAGACUUUUGGGGCUCUCUGGACAGGCGGGCCAGGGCGGCCCCGAGCGGCGGCCUUGGCCCCGCGUGUUCUACCAGGAGCCCCGAGGGCCCCGGGGCAGCUCAGGCAAGGUCCUGGAAAAAGUCACUUCGGUCUUCACCUGAGUGUCACCCUGGACCCAGCUCCCUCCUGACUCAGCAGCUGCAUGCGCAGUGGCAAUCAACCAACCAACCACAGCUGGAGAAGAAAGAAGACCACCCUGGGUCUCCCUGAGUGUUCCUCAUCACACAACUCCGCAGUCAUGUUGAAAACCCAAACCCACUGUUCUCAAUGGCUGUUUCUACCUUCUUUCUGCAACUCCCACCCGCUCCCCCCCCCCCCUUGCUUGCUUCCUUCUUAACUCUUUCCGAGGAGAGACCUCCCCGCCCCACACCUGCCCUGCGGCUCUGCCUCGCCCCCCACCCCACCCCUGCCCUUGCUGUAGGUGGGCACACCCUGCUCCCUUCGAGCAUCUCUACUCCAGUUUCCCCUGACCCCACCCCAUCUCAAGAGGGUGUCCCUGCGCCAACUGCUGAAUUAUCUCUGUGCACUUCUCUUGGCUGAGUUUCUCCUGCAGAAUUAUCUCUGGUUCAUGACAAACAUGCUAUUAUUCCAUCCAUCUUUAAAAAAUUUUUAAAAAUUAAAAAACCUUGGGAAAAAAUGGAAGCUACCCUUCAAUUUCCUUUCUUCCCUUCAUAGCAAAACAACAUGCUCAAAAGAGUUGCCUUCACCCACUGUCUCAGCUUCUCUAACUCCCUGUCUUAAACUCACUUCAAUCAGGCCACACCCCCAUGUGCUGUCACGGUCACCAGCACCCCCUGAGCUGCUAAAUCCAGUGGUCCAUUCUGAGGCCUCGUCCUAGAAGCCACACCAGCAGCGUUUGGCAGGUGGAGCCCCUCUUGUCCCUCAAGCAUUACUCCUGCGACCCCCAGGACACCCUUCCCCAUCUGCCUGCUUCUCUUCCCAGCUCAGUGGCUGCCCCUCCCAGGCCCCACUGACGUUUCCUUCUUAGCCUCCAGUGCCCAAGCCCCGGUUCUUGGGCUUCUUCUCUCUCCUCGACCCUCACUCCCCUGGUGAUGUUAACCAUUCCCAUAACUGCGGGGACCUGUUACAUGCUGACAGUUCCCAUUGUGUGUCGCUAGGUUGGACGUCACUCCUGAGCUCCAGGCAGCCGACGACUUUUCCACUGAGGUAUCUAAGACGCAUCACAAACACCGAGCUCCUGAUCUUCCCCCCUCCUCCCCACCCCUACUUUGCCCCAUCACAGUAAAGGGCAUCUGGAUGUUUCGAUGUUGGAAAUCCGAGGUUAUCUUUCCCUCAAUAUUACGUGACAGCGAUUUUCCUGAAAGAGUCAAGAACGGAAGACCGAUUGUAGAUAUCCAGGAGCCCACAGAAGACACAGGGCCAGGGGCGCUAGAGCUGGGUCCCAGUUUCUGCUGGACGGGCCUGUGACCAGGGCAGACUUUCGGCUGGCUGAACUGGGACCACAGGAGUGCAAAGGGGCAAUGCGGAAGCGAAAUAGGGUCCGUGUGGACGAGAGAAGGCUGGUGACCACAAGGCUCCAAGAAGCAAGACUCACAAAGGCAUUCACGUUCCUUUCCACAUGCCGCUUUGAUUUUCUGCUGAUUUUAGUGUAACUUCCUAUGAGACUGCCUGAGGGUGGGCCUCUGCGGCCCAGUUGGGCAGUGAUGAGGGGUGUGGGCUCUGGGCUGAGCAUGGAAACCAGCCUGGCCCUCGCUGGCUGUGUCACUUCCGACAGUUCGCUUUUGAUCCCAGGCCUCAGUUUCUUCCGCCGUUCGCGAUACUCUAAGUGGUAUGUAUGUCCUUUGGAGAGCAAGUGAGGUGAUCCGUGCAAGAUUAGGACAGACCUUGCAGCCCGCAAGCUGGCAACGAACCUCCCCGGGAUGUGUGUCCUCGGUCUGGCAGACACUGGCAAGGGGUUGUGGCGACAGCAGAAGCGUGGGGUUGGUGGGCACCAUGCCGAGUUACAUUUAGAUGUUACUAAAACCUAAAUGGUCCCUGGUAUCCUGCUUGGAUCUACGUGGUAGAUUUAGGGCUUCCAAAAUCCACUCGAGGCUUUUUACAUCCUCCUCACUAUUUAUAGUCUAAGUUCUCCCAAAUCACCAACCCAGCCAAAAUCCUUCCCGCUGUGUUUUCUCUCCACCCAAGCUCACUGGCAGCCAUGUGAUCCGUGGCCCCAACAAGCCCCUUACUCUGUUUCCUCGAGGAGAGAGUUGUGGGAUUCCUCUGCCCUUCGCAGCCUCGGCCACACUGACAGCUCGGGGGAGCCUGCCAUUCCUCCAGUUCCCCCCACGGAGGUGAACUCCAGCAGCCAUACCAGUUUCUGCCAUCUGAUACUGUCAUUUUUAAAGGUGGGAAAUUUGGUAAGCAAACAACAUUCUGUGGCUCGGAUGAUUUUGUGUCCGGCUCUUCUUCUUCUGGAUUGGAGCCAAGUCCCUUAUUCUUAUUUUUUCUCUGCCUCCUUAUAAGCCCUUUCUCCCUCCAUCCUGUAAACUUGAUCUUGCAUUAGAAACCAAAUGAAGCAGCGUGAUUCCUCCUGAGCACGUAGCCAACGCGGGUCACAGGGGGUCACCGUCGUGAAGAGGGAAAUCUAAUUCAUUCCUCACCCUUGGGAACCUUCUCACUCAUGGCCAAACUGUGCCUCUCGAAGUUCAUGGAGGACUCGCGGCACACAGCAGGACACGUGACAGGAGGUCAUGGUGUCAGGUUCUGUCCCACAGACUAGGUAAGGAAGGGUCCGAAUAGAAUAGGAGAGCCCAGGCAGGUAUAUGAGAGGCAGCAUUCACUACGGUUAGAGCAGAGGUUCUUGAACUGACCAUCUCAGUUUUCAUUCCAGCUCUGCCACUUCCUAGCUGUGUGACCUUGGGCCAAUCGGUUAACCUCUCUGGGCCUCAGUUUUUCCAACCGAGCAUAAAAUGGGCAUAACAUUCGUGUUCGCCUAGAAUGAGUCAGCGUAGAUCAAGUUCUCUGACUUGGGCCUGGCACUUCGACAGCAUCAUGUAAGAGCUAUGAUUCUAAGACCAGAGGUUUGGUGAUAACUGAUUGCUCCUUGCAAAUGUAGAUGGUGCGAAAAGUGUGUGCGUGUGCAGCUGUGGUUAGUACAGAUGUGUUCUGGGCUGGCCAGCCCCACGGGGCUAGCCUCGAAUCUCCACCAGAACAGAUGCACAACCCCGGCAGUAUCAGCUCCCUGCCGAUGUGUGCCUGAUAAGAAGGAAGGGACCAGGCGAGGAAAGGGAGGAGUAGGGAGGGGUCGAGGAAGAGAAAAACACUCACAUUUAUUUACUGAGGCCUCUGUAAGGCUUGCGUGUACAUCUGCAUCUCAUUUGUUUUUAAAACCACCCCGUGCAGUGGUGAUCCUUCUUCUCUUUCUACAGAUAAAAAAGUGAGGACUCAGAAGGAAGACGGGCCUUGCCUAAGGCCUCCCACCCCCUGAGUUUAAGUGAGCUAGCAAAUGUUCUCAUCGGGGCGGAGGGGGUGGCUGUGAAGGCAGGACACAAAAGACAGAGGGAGGAAGCUGCGUUGUAGCCUAGAGGUCCCUGUCUCUUCCUGCCAAACAGCAAGGGAAAUCCUUGGAUGCUGAUCAAGGCACGAGAAGCCCUGAGGAAAAGGGAAGCUGGCCUACCCAUGGGUCAGUUGAAACAGAGGGCAGACGUGGGGGAGUCACUGGUCAUGUGUGUCAUCCCCGCCCAGGGGCUGUGCUCCUGGGGCCUGGGGAGUCCCUCCAGGACUGCUCUCUGGGGAUCAGGAGGCUGCACUGUUGCCCCCUAGAGGAGACAGAAGGAGGGAGAAGCCGUGCCUGAACUCCCCAGCCCACUGAAGCCCCUGAGGGAGGCCAGAGUAUCUGAGGUGGGAACAAUUUGGGUGGCUGCCAACCCAGGAGCAGCCUUGAUUAUCUGUGUCACUCUUCAGACCCCCCUGUCAGGGAGAAUUCAAAAAAGUGAGUCCCUUGGGUGGUGGCAAAACUGCCCCUUUGGACUAGAAAGACCAGGGACACACCAACACCCUCUUGCAGAAGCAAGGAUGUGGCCACAUUGGAGGGCAUACAUUGUCUGAGUCUGGGGUUAAAUGUCUUCAUAGAAUAAUUGAGGGAUUAGCUGGUGAGGUUGAUGGAUAAAUACUAGAUGCCCAGUUAAAUCUGACUUUCUGAUAAACAACUUAAAAAAAAUUUUUUUUAUCCCAGUAGGAUAUACUUAUACUAAUGAAAUGAUUUGUUAUUUAUCUACAAUUCAAACCUACCUGGCUGUCUUGUGCUUUUAUUUGUUAGAUAAACAAAUCGAAUGCUCAAGUUGGAACUGGGAGGGCAAUCACUAAUAUUUUAAAAAGAAGUGCCAGACUGAAGUUUUGUUUUAAAAAAUUCAGAAUACCUUCUGAUGGGGCCAGGAAUCAAGGUAACUCGAACCAUUAAAAGUGCCUCACUUUCAUCCUUUUGAUACCUCCCUGCUGAGGGAUAAGUCAUUCUUUCCAUCCAGGGUCUAGAAAUUUCUUCCUGUCCCCAAUGUCUGUUUAGAAGUCAAGUCUACCCUUGCCAGUAGCAUUUGGGUAUUGAGUUAUACCUUCUUUAAAAAAAAAGAAAAAGGAAAAGUCUUCUCUCCAGGCCGGCAUUCAGAUGCCCAUGAGCUCGGCCAUCAAAUAUGAAUAUUCUCUUAAAAAUAAAAAUUAUGGUGCACUAAAAAAGGAGCAUGUUAUGUCAGCACUGGUGAUGAGACAAUUUAUUACCGUCUACAAAAAGAAGGCUCAACCGAUGUGGGGGAAGCUGGCUCAGCGAGCUGUAAAUUAUGAGCCAUUCUCUUAGUGGCAGAAAUAAAGCCUCUUGUCAGUCACUGCACUCUUCCCUUGACAGUCCAGCAGGCUGCUGGGAGCGGGCAGUCAGAAUUAUAUGCCCAUUACCUGCGAGAGCUGCCCCAUUCUGCUUCUCCGGGCUCACCCCCCAAUACUCCCGGGCGAGCCCUUGUGUGGUCUCUACUCACGUCUUUAGGACACAUGUCCUUUUUGACAUGAAAAAAAUAACAAGUGCAUAUGGUCUUCUAGCAGGCAGAAAGAAAGCAAGAAAGCAAGACCUGAGUUCAGUGGAAAAGGAGCAGAAUUCCAGACCAGAGGCCUCAGCAGAACUCCCCGCCUCGAGGGAGACUCCGUUGGCCUCUCUGAGCUGGGCCUUCCUUGGCUGGAAGAUGGAGUGGGGCUGAAAGGGCAAGGCAAGAGGUAGCUCAGCUUCCGCACGUGGGGUGCUGGGGCGCUGCUUGUGAGGUAGUCUGCCUCUUGUGCUGGGAGGGGCUCACAAAGGGCCAGGGGGACCCUGUGGGAGACGUUGAGAGAGGCUUCCUUUACCUAAACUCCAAGGUGAACUCACAGGGACUUCCAGGGCCAGCUGCAUAAAUCCAGAAUUCCGUGUAAGCAAAUCCUGCUCCCACGGACCCCAACCCUGCCUCGAUGAAGCUGGUGAUUGCCCCACAUCCUCCCCGCCCCACACAGCCGUGGACUCACCACCUUCCAAGAACAAUCUGUACCAUUAACCCCCUACUAUGAGGGCAGAAUUUUAAGUACCCCUCAGAAGAGUACUCGUGGGAGCUCACUGCCUGAGACAUAACUGGACAUGCACACCAUGAAUGAAUAACAUGGAUAAUUGCUAGGCCAUAAAUAUGGUUACAUGAGUCUAUUGCAUAUGAGAAUAGGGUUACAUGUUUUCAUAGAGUGGCCAGAUAAAUACUAGGUGCCCAGUUAAGUUUGAAUUUCAGAUAAACAAUGAAAAAAAACUUUUUUUAAAAGAUUUUAUUGAUUUAUUUGAGACAGGGUGAGUGAGAGAGAGAGCAUGAACGGGGUGGAGGGGCAGAGGAAGAGGGAGAAGCAAACUCCCCGCUGAGCAGGGAGCCAGACGUGGGGCUCAAUCCCAGGACCCUGGGAUCAUGACCUGAGCUGAAGGCAGACGCUUAACCCACUGAGCCACCCAGGCACCCUGAAAAAAAAUUUUCUUGAGUAUAUAUCCCACACAAUCUCGGGAUAUACUUAUAUUAAUAUAAUGAUUUGUUAUUCAAACAUUUUUAAACUUUAAAAUUUAAACUUCAAACUUACCUGGCUAUCCUGUACUUUUCUUUGCUAAAUCCAGCAACCCUUGAUGGGGGUCAAAUACUCCAACUGGAAUUGGGGAGGGCAGUGUAUCGCUAACAUUUUAAAAAGAAAUGUCAAGCUAAGGUUUUGGUUUUAAAAUUCAGAACACUUUCUGAUGGGGCUAGGAAGCAAGGCAACCCAAACCCUGAAGGGUGGCUUGCUGAGCUCAGGUGUGGCCCAUUAGGCAUCUAGACAGAUUAAAAUAAAACAAAAAUAAGUAAGAACAAAGAAAGAGACAGAGAGGAAGAGAGCUCACAACUAGGUGGGACAUCUGAGACCAUCCUAAUAACCCCGGGGGCCUCAGGCAGCAGGAUCCAUGGGAGAAAUGGUGGCUCAGAGCGUGCACACGUUAGGGAAGCUUUGUGAGCUAGUAUAUCUGGAAGGGUUUGGGUGACCUGGGGAAGAACCCCUUUGCCUUCGCAUCCUGGCCUAAGUGGGCUCUGUGGUGGGGAACGGCAGAGUUGAGAAGGGCCCAUUCUCCAGAGCCUGGAAGGGCCCAGGCCAGGAACACCAAAGCACCAGCACCAUUUGCUAUGCUCGUUCCUCAGCCUCCUCUCUGCGCCCCACUCUGCUCUCACCAUCAACUCCCCCGCUACCUCGGCCAAAUGGGCACUUGUCCAACUCACAAGCACCCAUCCCAGACAGUUCUUAUUUCUUCUAGUUUGUCAUUUCCCUUAACGUCUUAUCGGUCCUCCUUGAUUUUUCAAAGAUGUUUUUCCUUUCUUGCUUGCUGCUUAUUUCCCUUUCCUCCCACCCCCAAAUGGUUUUCUGAUGGUCAGCGAGACCCUUGUCUCUCUGUAUAACACAAGGUGGAUUCCCAGUCCGUCGCCCUAUCUGGCCUGUAAGGCAGAACCUUUCCGUGAACUUUAUUCGGAUGGAGCAGCUAAGAGCAGCAUGGCCACUGGGGGCUCAGCAGCAGCUGUGUGCUACCAUAGCAUGAGAUACUCUUUGCUUGUGAGAACCGAUUUGUUAGGGCAGCUCAGACACCAGGCAGGAGGCCAUGGGGACACACACUGCCCUCUGCAAUGAGGAGUCCAGCACGGUGGAGAAAAUGUCACCGACACUGUCUUCUAGCUUCAAAUGUUAGGUUGUUGAGGUAAAGUGGGAAAGGGCAGGGUUAUGGACAAUUUUUCUUUUUCUUUUUAGGUUGCGAACUAUUAACUGUAGUUCCGUAUUAACCAGCCCAUUUAAGGGUCUAUAGAAUAAUGACAAUGUUCAAGCCAACAAUGUCAAGGUUGUAAGCACUCCCAGGGCUGUCUUGAGUCAUGGGUUAAAUAGAAUCCAUGACAGAGUAUUUUACUGAACUGUUUUCUAAUUACCUGAAAAUUGGUCAUUCGUGUCUGCCAUACACAGUGAUGUGCCAACCACACGGUCUGAAUAAUCUGUACUUUGUCAGGUUUACAGAAGGCUGGCUGUACCUGCCAUCUCUGGGCCGAGAAUUCUUUCUAUUCUCGAUUAUUUUGUGCUUUUGCCCAGAGAAAAAUGAUGGAUCAAGGCAGAGAAGCAGGUAACGGGCCAUCCCCAAAUAAGCACGUUCAAAGACAAAGAGUUAUCGAAAUGUCACAAACUUUUGCUACCAGCCCAUCAUUUGAAUGCUUUUCCAGACAAGGGCAUCUGCAGUGACAUUCUCCCCUCUCUGAGCUCCAUCAGGCAAAGGGAGACUCCCUGCUGACCAUCACCGGGGACACGGACUAAAUUCUGACAGGGUGGGUUAUUCCUGAGCACCUGAGGAAUAGUUAAGAUGUGUCAUGUCAGGGGGCGCCUGGGUGGCUCAGUCGUUAAGCAUCUGCCUUCGGCUCAGGUCAUGAUUCCAGGGUCCUGGGAUCGAACCCUGCAUUGGGCUCCCUGCUCAGCGGGAAGCCUGCUUCUCCCUCUCCCACUCCCCCUGCUUGUGUUCCCUCUCUCACUGUGUCUCUCUCUGUCAAAUAAAUAAAUAAAAUCUUAAAAAAAAAAAAAAAAAAGAUGUGUCAUGUCAGUAGGUGUCUGGGCAAUUUUUAGAUCAAGCAUUAAUAGCCUACGAUGGCCCCAAUAAUUUUCUCACAUUGUUGUGAUUCUGCUCUUACCUUCUUAGUAUGCUUUGCAUAAAGGCAGUGUGGCUUCUUAGUUUAUGUGAUGCAGCAAUGCACACUGACCUCCAUGCAAAUACACUUCACCCGGGGCCUUUCCUAUAGAUGCCAGGCAAAAUGUCCAGCCCCCAGUCCCAAAGGGAAGAAUAACCAAGUGGUCAUGAAAACCAAGAAAAAUGCAAUCACAGUACAGUUCUAAGUGUCAGUAGAGAAGACAAUGACA